rnacentral:misc_RNA from 1 species
AAGUCGUAACAAGGUUUCCGUAGGUGAACCUGCGGAAGGAUCAUUAUUGAGACUUGAACAGGUUGUAGCUGGCUCUGAAAGGAGUACGUGCACGCCUGGCUCAUCCACUCUUUAACCUUUGUGCACUCUUUGCAAGAGCUUGGUAAACAUUGGUCUUUCAUGGCUAGUGAUCUCCUCUCUCUUGUGUUUUUAUCACAAACAUGUCAUGUUGUAGAAUGGUCUUUAUGCAGAUAAUGCAUGUUGAAUAAACAACUUUCAGCAACGGAUCUCUUGGCUCUC